rnacentral:rRNA from 1 species
AACUUUCAACAACGGAUCUCUUGGUUCUGGCAUCGAUGAAGAACGCAGCGAAAUGCGAUAAGUAAUGUGAAUUGCAGAAUUCAGUGAAUCAUCGAAUCUUUGAACGCACAUUGCGCCCACCAGUAUUCUGGUGGGCAUGCCUAUUCGAGCGUAAU